rnacentral:rRNA from 1 species
GAUGAACGCUAGCGGCAGGCUUAACGCAUGCAAGUCGAGGGGUAUAGUUCUUCGGAACUAGAGACCGGCGCACGGGUGCGUAACGCGUAUGCAAUCUACCUUUUGCAGAGGGAUAGCCCAGAGAAAUUUGGAUUAAUACCUCAUAGUAUGUGAGAAUGGCAUCAUUUUCACAUUAAAGUCACAACGGCAAAAGAUGAGCAUGCGUCCCAUUAGCUAGUUGGUAAGGUAACGGCUUACCAAGGCAACGAUGGGUAGGGGUCCUGAGAGGGAGAUCCCCCACACUGGUACUGAGACACGGACCAGACUCCUACGGGAGGCAGCAGUGAGGAAUAUUGGACAAUGGGCGCAAGCCUGGUCCAGCCAUGCCGCGUGCAGGAAGAAGCAUCUAUGGUGUGUAAACUGCUUUUGUACAGGAAGAAACACCCCGACGUGUCGGGACUUGACGGUACUGUAAGAAUAAGGAUCGGCUAACUCCGUGCCAGCCGCCGCGGUAAAAC